rnacentral:rRNA from 1 species
UACGGAGGGUGCAAGCGUUAUCCGGAUUCACUGGGUUUAAAGGGUGCGUAGGUGGGCAGGUAAGUCAGUGGUGAAAUCUCGGGGCUUAACUCCGAAACUGCAUUCGAUACUGCCGUGCUUGAGGACUGGAGAGGAGACUGGAAUUUACGGUGUAGCGGUGAAAUGCGUAGAUAUCGUAAGGAAGACCAGUGGCGAAGGCGGGCCUCUGGACAGUUCCUGACGCUGAGGCACGAAGGCCAGGGGAGCAAACGGG